GUACUCACUUCGGCAGUACAUAUAAUUGGAACAAUACAGAGAAGAUUAGCAUGGCCCCUGAGCAAGGAUGACAUGCAAAUUCAUGAAGCGUUCCAUACUGAA
rnacentral:snRNA from 1 species